rnacentral:rRNA from 1 species
GACGAACCGUGCGAACGUUGUUCGGAUUCACUGGGCUUAAAGGGCGCGUAGGCGGGUGAUCAAGUCCGGGGUGAAAUACUCCAGCUUAACUGGAGAAUAGCCCUGGAUACUGGUCGUCUUGAGGGAGGUAGGGGCAUGUGGAACUUCCGGUGGAGCGGUGAAAUGCGUAGAUAUCGGAAGGAACGCCGGUGGCGAAAGCGAUGUGCUGGACCUCUUCUGACGCUGAGGCGCGAAAGCCAGGGGAGCGAACGGG